rnacentral:lncRNA from 1 species
UUGUGAGGCUGUUGGAUGGAAGGCCUCAGUUAUAUGCUACCUGUUGGCCAGAGGCCUCCCUCAGUUCUUUGCUACACAGGCCUCUCUGGCCUCCACUACAAUAAGCAAGAAGAAACUGCCAUCUCUUUGUACACCUAAUUGUAGAAGUGAUAUUCCAUUACUUUUGCCAUGUUCUAUUAGUUAGAAGUGAAUCACUAGGUUCAGCCUACAUUCAAGAGGAAGGGAUCACACAAAGAUCUAGGAGGCAGCUACUCCUCACCUCCUGACUACGACAGCCAAGUCCAGGCUGCAGCAUCUCUUGCCUGGACUCUGCUGCAAUAGCCUUCUAUCAAGGUUCCUGCUCCUGCUUCCCUUCCCCAGUGUGUUCUACAGCCAGCCACAGCCAUCUCUUAGAAAGGUAAAUCCGCCGUGCCUCUCCUCUGCUCAAAGCCUACUUUGCUGUCUCCUUUCACUUAGAAUAAAAUCUAGUGUUGUUGCCAUGGUCCGUCAGGCUGGAAUCUGUCUAGAUACCUCUAGAUCUCUGUUCUCAUCUCUCCACUCUUCCCUUGGCUGCUUCUACCCCAGCUGCACCUGCCUCCCUGCUAAUCUUUGGGCACAGUGAGCACGAUCCCACCUCAGGG